rnacentral:tRNA from 1 species
CGCGGGGUGGAGCAGCUCGGUAGCUCGUCGGGCUCAUAACCCGAAGGUCGGGGGUUCAAAUCCCUCUCCCGCAACCA